rnacentral:rRNA from 1 species
UACAGAGGUCUCAAGCGUUUGUUCGGAUUCAUUGGGCGUAAAGGGUGCGUAGGCGGCGCGGUAAGUCGGGUGUGAAAUCUCGGAGCUUAACUCCGAAACUGCAUUCGAUACUGCCGUGCUUGAGGACUGGAGAGGAGACUGGAAUUUACGGUGUAGCGGUGAAAUGCGUAGAUAUCGUAAGGAAGACCAGUGGCGAAGGCGGGUCUCUGGACAGUUCCUGACGCUGAGGCACGAAGGUCAGGGGAGCAAAACGGGG